UACGUAGGGACCAAGCGUUUGUUCGGAUUUACUGGGCGUAAAGGGCGCGUAGGCGGCGUGUUAAGUCAGCUGUGAAAUCUCCGAGCUUAACUCGGAACGGUCAGCUGAUACUGAUGUGCUAGAGUGCAGAAGGGGCAAUCGGAAUUCUUGGUGUAGCGGUGAAAUGCGUAGAUAUCAAGAGGAACACCUGAGGUGAAGACGGGUUGCUGGGCUGACACUGACGCUGAGGAGCGAAAGUGUGGGGAGCGAACAGG
rnacentral:rRNA from 1 species